AGGAAUAUUGGUCAAUGGACGCAAGUCUGAACCAGCCAUGCCGCGUGCAGGAUGACGGCUCUAUGAGUUGUAAACUGCUUUUGUACUAGGGUAAACUCACCUACGUGUAGGUGACUGAAAGUAUAGUACGAAUAAGGAUCGGCUAACUCCGUGCCAGCAGCCGCGGUAAUACGGAGGAUUCAAGCGUUAUCCGGAUUUAUUGGGUUUAAAGGGUGCGUAGGCGGUUUGAUAAGUUAGAGGUGAAAUGUUAGGGCUCAACCCUGAAACUGCCUCUAAUACUGUUGAGCUAGAGAGUAGUUGCGGUAGGCGGAAUGUAUGGUGUAGCGGUGAAAUGCUUAGAGAUCAUACAGAACACCGAUUGCGAAGGCAGCUUACCAAACUAUAUCUGACGUUGAGGCACGAAAGCGUGGGGAGCAAACAGGAUUAGAUACCCUGGUAGUCCACGCAGUAAACGAUGAUAACUCGUUGUCGGCGAUACACAGUCGGUGACUAAGCGAAAGCGAUAAGUUAUCCACCUGGGGAGUACGUUCGCAAGAAUGAAACUCAAAGGAAUUGACGGGGGCCCGCACAAGCGGAGGAACAUGUGGUUUAAUUCGAUGAUACGCGAGGAACCUUACCCGGGCUUGAAAGUUAGCGACGAUUCUUGAAAGAGGAUUUCCCUUCGGGGCGCGAAACUAGGUGCUGCAUGGUUGUCGUCAGCUCGUGCCGUGAGGUGUCGGGUUAAGUCCCAUAACGAGCGCAACCCCUACCGUUAGUUGCCAUCAGGUCAAGCUGGGCACUCUGGCGGGACUGCCGGUGUAAGCCGAGAGGAAGGUGGGGAUGACGUCAAAUCAGCACGGCCCUUACGUCCGGGGCUACACACGUGUUACAAUGGUAGGUACAGAGGGCAGCUACCCAGCGAUGGGAUGCGAAUCUCGAAAGCCUAUCUCAGUUCGGAUUGGAGGCUGAAACCCGCCUCCAUGAAGUUGGAUUCGCUAGUAAUCGCGCAUCAGCCAUGGCGCGGUGAAUACGUUCCCG
rnacentral:rRNA from 1 species